GAUGAACGCUGGCGGCGUGCCUAAUACAUGCAAGUCGAGCGAACGGACGAGAAGCUUGCUUCUCUGAUGUUAGCGGCGGACGGGUGAGUAACACGUGGAUAACCUACCUAUAAGACUGGGAUAACUUCGGGAAACCGGAGCUAAUACCGGAUAAUAUUUUGAACCGCAUGGUUCAAAAGUGAAAGACGGUCUUGUUGUCACUUAUAGAUGGAUCCGCGCUGCAUUAGCUAGUUGGUAAGGUAACGGCUUACCAAGGCAACGAUGCAUAGCCGACCUGAGAGGGUGAUCGGCCACACUGGAACUGAGACACGGUCCAGACUCCUACGGGAGGCAGCAGUAGGGAAUCUUCCGCAAUGGGCGAAAGCCUGACGGAGCAACGCCGCGUGAGUGAUGAAGGUCUUCGGAUCGUAAAACUCUGUUAUUAGGGAAGAACAUAUGUGUAAGUAACUGUGCACAUCUUGACGGUAACUAAUCAGAAAGCCACGGCUAACUACGUG
rnacentral:rRNA from 1 species